GAUGAACGCUGGCGGCGUGCCUAAUACAUGCAAGUCGAGCGAACGGACGAGAAGCUUGCUUCUCUGAUGUUAGCGGCGGACGGGUGAGUAACACGUGGAUAACCUACCUAUAAGACUGGGAUAACUUCGGGAAACCGGCGCUAAUCCCGGAUAAUAUUUUGAACCGCAUGGUUCAAAAGUGAAAGACGGUCUUGCUGUCACUUCUAGAUGGAUCCGCGCUGCAUUAGCUAGUUGGUAAGGUAACGGCUUACCAAGGCAACGAUGCAUAGCCGACCUGAGAGGGUGAUAGGCCACACUGGAACUGAGACACGGUCAAGACUCCUAAGGGAGGCAGCAGUAGGGAAUCUUACGCAAUGGGCGAAAGCCUGACGGAGCAACGCCGCGUGAGUGAUGAAGGUCUUCGGAUCGUAAAACUCUGUUAUUAGGGAAGAACAGAUGUGUAAGUAACUGUGCACAGCGUGACGGUACCUAAUCAGAAAGCCACGGCUAACUACGUG
rnacentral:rRNA from 1 species